GGAUGUAGCUCAGUGGCAGAGAGCUUGCCUAACAGGCAAGAAGGCCUAGGUUCCAUCCCCAGCACCA
rnacentral:tRNA from 1 species